GACCAGGUGGCUCAGAUGGUAAAGCGUCUGUCUGAAAUGCAGAAGAUGCGGGUUCGAUCCCUGGGUUG
rnacentral:tRNA from 1 species